UACGUAGGAUGCAAGCGUUGUCCGGAAUUAUUGGGCGUAAAGAGCGAGCAGGCGGGUUCGACAAGUCAGAUGUAAAAUAUCCCGGCUUAACCGGGAGGGGCCAUUUGAAACUGUCGGACUAGAGUGGAGCAGAGGAUAGUGGAAUUCCCGGUGUAGUGGUGAAAUGCGUAGAUAUCGGGAGGAACACCAGUGGCGAAAGGCGACUAUCUGGGCUUUAACUGACGCUGAGGCGCGAAGGCCGGGGGGAGCAAACAGG
rnacentral:rRNA from 1 species